UACAGAGACUGCAAGCGUUAUUCGGAUUCACUGGGCGUAAAGGGUGCGCAGGCGGCCAAGUGUGUCAGGUGUGAAAUCCCGAGGCUUAACCUCGGAACUGCGCCUGAAACUACUUGGCUAGAGUACUGGAGAGGGUAACGGAAUUCACGGUGUAGCAGUGAAAUGCGUAGAUAUCGUGAGGAACACCAGAGGCGAAGGCGGUUACCUGGGCCGGAACUGACGCUGAGGCGCGAAAGCGUGGGGGAGCAAGCAGGG
rnacentral:rRNA from 1 species